CCAGACCUUGAAGGACAUGACAGGAACUAGUCCUCACUAACAGAGGCCUUGCAUGAGCCUAGAAAGCAAUCUUUCCGGAGAACCGUGUUUACAACUUGUAAAACACAUGGCAUCACCUGAGAAAAGUCACUGAUAAGUCUGAUUUUUGAGUAGAAAUAUAUUUCAGUAUUCAGCUUGAGGUAUUCAAAGAUCUGAUGGGGAAGGAGGAUGCCAACAAAAUGAGAACGAAGCUUUGCUUGUUCUUUAAUAUAUUGUGAACUUAUCAUACUUUGUAUAUCAUACUUUGUAAAAUGCUCCUUCUUAGAUGUAUGGGGUUUUUGAAUUUUUUAUCUUAAAUCUUUCUCUCAUUUUUGGAACAGGAUUAAAUAGCAGUAAUUGGCGGGUGGAUUUAAUUGCUUUUUUUUUUUUUCAGAGAAAAAUGUUUGAUGACUUAAUGGCUCUUCUUCUGCAAGUGAAAAUGUACCCACAGAUAUAUUCAAGAUGCUUUGCCAAUUUCAAUUGCAUUGUUGAAUCCAAAAAAGCUUCAUAGUCAAUCAUAUGUGUUUUCAUACUUUUAUUCUACUGUAGGAAACACAAAGUAUUUCUAGAAAAAUGAACCACUGUUAAAGCUGAAAAUUGGGCGAUUUCCUACUUACUGGUCAACUAUACCCCAUAGUAUCGACUACUUCACUUUCUAAACAACUGUCCUGAGAUCAGUUUAUUGUACAGUGAUUAGGUCCUAAUUUUAUCGUCGUCACUCUCUUCCCAAUAUGUUAAUAGAGCUGAAAAUGACCUUUGCAUUAAGACAAAACUGAAUUUAAGUUAAAACAAUCCUCUUCACUUUGUAGGCAAAAGCAAGAGGAUCAGGAUAUCAAGGCCAUCUACCAGUCUCCUGCGAGUUCAAUUAUAGUCUGGCUUACAGUAGACUUUGAUGAAAUAAAAAGGGAAAGAAAAAAGAAAAGAACAGGAGCAGGAGAGAUAAAUUAGUGCUUAGAGUAUUGACAGUUCUUCCAAGGACCUAAGUUCAUUCCAGGCACCCACAUGGGAGCUCAUAACCAUUUGUAACUCCAGCACCUGGAUACAAGGCAUGCAUGUAGUAAUAGGCAAGCAUGAAAGGCAAAACAAUUUUAUACAUACAAUUUUUAGAAAUUCAAAAUGUAAAGCAAACAAAAACUGUAAAUCAUUCAUACUUAUUAAUCACAUCCUUUUGCAAAGGUUUAGAUUUUUCUUUCUAUAAAACAAACUAGUAGUCAUGCAACAGUAUCAAACACACUAAAUUACACAAAAUGUUAAAGAUAAAACCUAGAGCCCACUAAAGCAUAAAAAGCAGUGUUAUGGGGGAACUUUUACACUGUGCUUAUAAGGAGUCUAAUGGCUGAGCAGAAAAAAGCAGCAAAUGCUUAAAGUCUGGACAAUUCUCUGAAAAUCAUGGAGCAAUUGGAAAACCUUACUUAAAAAUAGUGAAUAGUGGUAAGAACAAUGAGAAUUUGUGACAACUUUCCAUACCCUGAGUGUUGUUUCACAGAUAGUCCCAGUUAGGUGCUGUUAAAAACAUGAAUGAUCAUGCGUAAAAUACUCCUGCACGUAAGGUUCAGGUAAUAGUGGAAUAAGGAGCAGAAAGAUUUUAAGAGCAAGAAUAUCAAGGAGUUCGGUGUGAGAUUGUGUCUACUAAUAAUAUAAGAAGCUACACCACAACGUCUUAACAACAUGACUAACCAAACAUAAGCUGAAAAAGGAUGAUACCAAGGAACAUGCCUGCGUGAAUGAAGAAACAAUGAGGCGUCAACACUAUCGAAAGAACGACAGAUAACUGAAUAAAUCUGGGAGCAGGAGAAAAACCAAUUAGUUGUCUGCUUGUGAAUUCGCAACACUAAAAAGCAUACAAAAGGAAGCUCUACCUAAUCUCUGGCUGUGGGUCUCUGCAUCUGCCCAAUAAGUUUCUGGAUGAAGCCUCUCCGGUGAUAACUAGGCUAAGCACUGAUGUCUGAUCAACUUCUUCCUGGCCACAUAGAAACUCAGAAACUUCGCCUACUGCCUUUUCAUCUCUUGGAAAGAGUUCCAUAUCAUUUAAGAGUGAAAUUGCCACUGGUUGGUAAUCAUAAACAGUACUAAGUGCUCCUAGAAAGAAAUUGAGGAGGAAGAAUUCACACAGAAGUUAAAGAUGCGAUUUUAUUGUGUUUAAUGAAUGUGUUUUGUUUGUGAUUUUACAAACUGUUCACUUUGUAUUUCAUUCUGCAUUCAUAAGUUUUUUUUUUCUCACUACAUGACAUGAUGAACAAGUUCUUCAGAAUAUGAAACCAAUUAGAAAAUUCAUGAAUGCCUUUCAUAUAUGGUUGCAAUCUCUAAUUGUACAAUAAUACAUAUACAGCAGAGUAUGAAAUUUUUAACAAUCACACAAUGAAGCUUACUUAUUGACUAAAGUCUGGAUUGGAAAAAAACAAAAGAGAAAUGGUUGGCAUUUUUACUGUGGCUGAAAUUGGGGAGUCAGAGCUGAAUGAUGUGUUAUACACCAGGACUCAGGUGCCAGAAGUAGGAGGAUUGCUGUGAAUUUUGUUGCCAGGCUUGUCUACAUACUGAGUUACAUACUACAAAGCUAUUAUUAAACACGGCCUUACAAACACAAAGACAUAAAAAAUGGGCGUAGAAUGAAGAAUCCUGAUGAUAUCAAAUGUGUGAGCAUUUGGAUAUUCCAUCUGCUUUCCCAGAAAUAGAACACAGGGAAAAUAGGAAUUUAGCAAAGAAGCUUAAAUGUUGACAGUAUAUGUUCACACACAAUGGAGCCAGGAUCUUUGUUACAUAAGUCCUGAGAUGAAGCAUGAUUUGUUGUCCACUGGUUCCCUGUGUCCUGGUAGCUAAGCAGGGUCUGUGAGUCUCUUUGCUGCUGCUGUUUGCCAAUUGGAUGACCUUACUCAAAACCUUAAGUGCACACAUUCUCCUAUCAGUCACUUUUUUAUUGGGUGCAUUAAUACUUCCCACACAAUGUCUUAUACUUAUCAUGAGUGACUGUAAUGACAUGUCAUCUGCUGUGUUAUAUAGCUCAUGUAAUAAAUGUGUUAUUAUAGUCUGACUUUAAAAUAUGUGUGUGUGUGAGUGUGUGUGUGCAUGUGUGUGGACAUUAUUUAAAACUAGCCUUGCUAGGCCACAGAGGAAGACAAUGCAACCAGUCCUUACAAGACCUGAUAGGCUAGGGUCAGAUAGAAGGUGAGGAGAACCUCCUCUAUCAGUGGACUAGUGGAGUGGGAUAGAGGGAGAAGAGGGAGGGAGGGUGCGAUUGGGAGGAGACA